rnacentral:rRNA from 1 species
UACGGGGGGGGCAAGCGUUGUUCGGAAUUACUGGGCGUAAAGGGCUCGUAGGUGGCCAACUAAGUCAGACGUGAAAUCCCUCAGCUUAACCGGGGAACUGCGUCUGAUACUGGAUGGCUUGAGUUCGGGAGAGGGAUGCGGAAUUCCAGGUGUAGCGGUGAAAUGCGUAGAUAUCUGGAGGAACACCGAUGGCGAAGGCAGGUCUCUGGGCCGAUACUGACGCUGAGGAGCGAAAGCGUGGGGAGCGAACAGG